GGAUGUGAGAGUGAUCUUGCUGUGACAUCUGUCACCCUAUCAACUUUCAGGCUUGAUUCAGUGGAUCUGGCUGACGAUGUAGGUCUCUCCUUUCUUUUUCACCACUCUGUGUACAUUCCUCCUUAUAGAAGAUAAUGACCUUCCCAAAAUGGUGCGGGAUGUUUCAUUGGUUGAGGACAUAAACUCCACUACUAGAACCUCCAAGUAAGCGCUCAUCAAAGCAAGCUGGGCAAGCCAUGGAAGUCAAGCCAGUAAACAACUCCUCCAGGAUCUCUGCUUCAGUUCCUGCCUUCAGGUUCCU
rfam:Mus musculus chromosome 6, GRC primary reference assembly.